GACGAACGCUGGCGGCGUGCCUAAUACAUGCAAGUUGAGCGCUGAAGGUUGGUACUUGUACCAACUGGAUGAGCAGCGAACGGGUGAGUAACGCGUGGGGAAUCUGCCUUUGAGCGGGGGACAACAUUUGGAAACGAAUGCUAAUACCGCAUAAAAACUUUAAACACAAGUUUUAAGUUUGAAAGAUGCAAUUGCAUCACUCAAAGAUGAUCCCGCGUUGUAUUAGCUAGUUGGGGAGGUAAAGGCUCACCAAGGCGAUGAUACAUAGCCGACCUGAGAGGGUGAUCGGCCACAUUGGGACUGAGACACGGCCCAAACUCCUACGGGAGGCAGCAGUAGGGAAUCUUCGGCAAUGGACGAAAGUCUGACCGAGCAACGCCGCGUGAGUGAAGAAGGUUUUCGGAUCGUAAAACUCUGUUGGUAGAGAAGAACGUUGGUGAGAGUGGAAAGCUCAUCAAGUGACGGUAACUACCCAGAAAGGGACGGCUAACUACGUG
rnacentral:rRNA from 1 species